rnacentral:rRNA from 1 species
UACGUAGGGUGCAAGCGUUGUCCGGAAUUAUUGGGCGUAAAGAGCUCGUAGGCGGUUUGUCGCGUCUGCUGUGAAAUCCCGAGGCUCAACCUCGGGUCUGCAGUGGGUACGGGCAGACUGGAGUGCGGUAGGGGAGAAUGGAAUUCCUGGUGUAGCGGUGGAAUGCGCAGAUAUCAGGAGGAACACCAAUGGCGAAGGCAGAUCUCUGGGCCUUACCUGACGCUGAGGAGCGAAAGCGUGGGGAGCGAACAGG